rnacentral:rRNA from 1 species
GAUGAACGCUGGCGGCGUGCCUAAUACAUGCAAGUCGAGCGAACAGACGAGGAGCUUGCUCCUCUGACGUUAGCGGCGGACGGGUGAGUAACACGUGGAUAACCUACCUAUAAGACUGGGAUAACUUCGGGAAACCGGAGCUCAUACCGGAUCAUAUAUUGAACCGCAUGGUUCAAUAGUGAAAGCCGGUUUUGCUGUCACUUAUAGAUGGAUCCGCGCCGCAUUAGCUAGUUGGUAAGGUAACGGCUUACCAAGGCAACGAUGCGUAGCCGACCUGAGAGGGUGAUCGGCCACACUGGAACUGAGACACGGUCCAGACUCCUACGGGAGGCAGCAGUAGGGAAUCUUCCGCAAUGGGCGAAAGCCUGACGGAGCAACGCCGCGUGAGUGAUGAAGGUCUUCGGAUUGUAAAACUCUGUUAGUUGGGAAGAAGAAAUGUGUAAGUAACUAUGCACGUCUUGACGGUACCUAAUCAGAAAGCCACGGCUAACUACGUG